rnacentral:rRNA from 2 species
AUGGGGUGCAGCAGGCGAGAAAACUUCGCAAUGUGCGAAAGCACGACAAGGUUAGUCCGAGUGAUUUCUGCUAAAGAGAUCUUUUGCUAGUUAUAAAACCACUAGUGAAUAAGGGGUGGGCAAGUUCUGGUGUCAGCCGCCGCGGUAAAACCAGCACCUCAAGUGGUCAGGAUGAUUAUUGGGCCUAAAGCAUCCGUAGCCGGCUCUGUAAGUUUUCGGUUAGAUCCAUGUGCUCAACGCAUGGGCUGCCGAAAAUACUGCAGAGAUAGGGAGUGGGAGAGGUAGACGGUACUCGGUAGGAAGGGGUAAAAUCCUUUGAUCUAUCGAUGACCACCUGUGGCGAAGGCGGUCUACCAGAACACGUUCGACGGUGAGGGAUGAAAGCUGGGGGAGCAAACCGGAUUAGAUACCCGGGUAGUCCCAGCUGUAAACGAUGCAGACUCGAUGAUGCAUUGGCAUAUAGCCAGUGCAGUGUCGCAGGGAAGCCGUUAAGUCUGCCGCCUGGGAAGUACGUACGCAAGUAUGAAACUUAAAGGAAUUGGCGGGGGAGCAC